AUCCAGCUGACAAGUCCUGAAUAAGACGAAACGUGCGUCCUGGAU
rfam:Schistosoma rodhaini strain Burundi genome assembly, scaffold: SROB_scaffold0006086